rnacentral:lncRNA from 1 species
AUGGGGGAGGGGGUGGUUGAAGGGUGGAGGACCCGCUUACCUUGCUCUCGAGCAGCGGCUGUUGGACAGAAGUGGGUGCGGGACCCUGCAAGUGCCUGCGGGGUUGGGGAAAAAGAGGAUUCGGGGAUCCCGGUGCCCCGCACGAAUAAGGGGGCGCCCACCCCAUCCCGACCGCCGAGUUUGCGCCCCUCCUCAGACAAUGUGAGAGACCGACAAACUUUUGAAUGGAUUAAAAUCCAGAGGAGCCCCGCCGGAACAGGCGGUGGUGGAGGGAACACCGACUGUCCACCCAGAACAGCUUCCUUGCCCCCAGCCUGGCCCCCACCUGGGAAGGAGGGAGCCCAGUUCACUUCGCAGGAUCCGGAAUCUUGAAUCUCCGGGGCAGAGCCGACAGCUGCGACCACUUCCAGCCUGAGCCUGACGCUGGAAGCAGCUUCUGCCGUUGGGUACUCACUGCUGCCUCCACUUCUGCUCUGUUCAGUUUGCUGCUGUGUUUUUCCGUGUCGUGUAGGGAUCUUGGGGGACAGGGCAAUGAAAUGUUUCUCCUUGGGUCCCCCAGUCCUUCCCCACGCCCCCACCAAACCUUAAAGCUGCUGAUGGAUGGUAUUAAGCUGCAGCUUCUGGCCCUGCUCAGAAGCUACUCCAAGCAAAUUCAAAUUUUCUUCUGGGCCGGAGGAAGGACACAGGCUCCUUCCUCAGUCCUUCCUUGCUCAUUGAUCCAUUUGAAGGGCAUUUGGGGGUCAAAACUGAGACCAGACUGCUUCCAUUGGUAUAAAAUCAGCAUCGUUAUCACACGAAAGGCCCAGAUUUCUCAAAUCAAGGAACCGAGAGGGCUUCACCCAGCCCCACACCUCUUCUCUGGCCUCUCAAACCAGUGAUGAUGUAAAGGUUUGUUGAGGUGGAGGAAGAGAAGGGAAAUAGGUAGUUUGCUGUACCAAGAGAUCAAUCUGUAACUGCGGCUGUUCGUUACACCAAUGUUUAUUUCAUACCUACUAUGUGCAAAGCAUUGUCCCCACCUCAGAUUUGUCAUGAUAGUCAAUAAUGGGAUUCCUGCCACUGUGAGGCUUCAAUACGUAUGGACAAAUAUAUAAAUAAACAGACUGAUGGAAAAGAAAGUUUGGAUUUU